rnacentral:rRNA from 1 species
AUUGGAUGAGCCCGCGGCCUAUCAGCUAGUUGGUGGGGUAACGGCCUACCAAGGCAACGAUCGGUAGCUGACGUGAGAGCGUGAUCAGCCACACUGGGACUGAGACACGGCCCAGACUCCUACGGGAGGCAGCAGUGGGGAAUAUUGCGCAAUGGGCGAAAGCCUGACGCAGCGACACCGCGUGCGGGAUGAAGGCCUUCGGGUUGUAAACCGCUUUCGGCAGGGACGAAGCGAAAGUGACGGUACCUGCAGAAGAAGGUCCGGCUAACUACGUGCCAGCAGCCGCGGCCGAAU